CAAAGUGCUUACAGUGCAGGUAGUUUUAUAAGAUCUACUGCAGUGAAGGCACUUUCAGC
rnacentral:pre_miRNA from 1 species